rnacentral:rRNA from 1 species
UAGGGAAUAUUUGGCAAUGGAUGCAAGUCUGACCCAGCCAUGCCGCGUGCCGGAUGAAGGCCCUCAGUGUUGUAAACGGCUUUUAUUCGGGAAGAAGAGCAGGGAUGCGUCCUUGUGUGACGGUACCGAAUGAAUAAGCACCGGCUAACUCCGUUCCAGCAGCCGCGGUAAUACGGAGGGUGCGAGCGUUGUCCGGAUUUAUUGGGUUUAAAGGGUGCGUAGGUGGCUUUUUAAGCCAGUGGUGAAACACAGCCGCUCAACGGGUGAGGUGCCAUUGAUACUGAAAAACUUGAAACAAGUGGAGGCUGCAGGAAUGGAUGGAGUAGCGAUGAAAUGCAUAGUUAUCAUCCAGAACACCGGUUACGGAGGCAGGUGGCUACGUUUGAUUUGACACUGAGGCACGGAAGCGUGGGGAGAAAACA